rnacentral:snoRNA from 1 species
UGGACCAAUGAUGAUAAUAUGUCAUGAACCGAGGAUUAUGAUUAAUCCAAUUAUGUUCACCUAAAUUCCAAA